AGAGUUUGAUCAUGGCUCAGGACGAACGCUGGCGGCGUGCUUAACACAUGCAAGUGGAGCGACGAACCAGGGCUUGCCCUGGGGCAAAGCCGCGAACGGGUGAGUAACACGUGGGUAACCUGCCCCGAUGACCGGGACAACCCGAGGAAACUCGGGCUAAUACCGGAUGUGGAUCUCUCACAUCAGUGAGUUGUCUAAAGGUAGCUUCGGCUUCCGCAUUGGGAUGGGCCCGCGGCCCAUUAGCUUGUUGGUGAGGUAACGGCUUACCAAGGCUUCGAUGGGUAGCUGGUCUGAGAGGACGAUCAGCCACACUGGGACUGAGACACGGCCCAGACUCCUACGGGAGGCAGCAGUGGGGAAUCUUGCGCAAUGCGCGAAAGCGUGACGCAGCAACGCCGCGUGGGGGAAGAAGGCCUUCGGGUUGUAAACCCCUUUCAGGAGGGACGAAGGUCAUACGGUGAAUAGCCGGCAUGACUGACGGUACCUCCAGAAGAAGCCCCGGCUAACUACGUGCCAGCAGCCGCGGUAAUACGUAGGGGGCAAGCGUUGUCCGGAAUUAUUGGGCGUAAAGAGCGCGUAGGCGGUCCGGUAAGUCGGCUGUGAAAGUCAAGGGCUCAACCCUUGAAAGCCGGCCGAUACUGUCGGACUAGAGUCCGGAAGAGGCGAGUGGAAUUCCCGGUGUAGCGGUGAAAUGCGCAGAUAUCGGGAGGAACACCAAUGGCGAAGGCAGCUCGCUGGGACGGUACUGACGCUGAGGCGCGAAAGCGUGGGGAGCAAACAGGAUUAGAUACCCNNGUAGUCC
rnacentral:rRNA from 1 species